UCCGACAGGAAUUCGCCACGCGAGUCCG
rnacentral:sRNA from 1 species